CUCGUAGGCGGCCAACUAAGUCGGACGUGAAAUCCCCAGGCUCAACCUGGGAACUGCGUCCGAUACUGGAUGGCUUGAAUCCGGGGAGAGGGAUGCAGAAUUCCAGGUGUAGCGGUGAAAUGCGUAGAUAUCUGGAGGAAUACCGGUGGCGAAGGCGGCAUCCUGGACCGGCAUUGACGCUGAGGAGCGAAAGCCAGGGGGAAGCAAACG
rnacentral:rRNA from 1 species